GCUGGAGUGGUGAAAUUGGUAGACACACAACGUUCAGGGCGUUGUGAGCGCAAGCUCAUGGGAGUUCAAAUCUCCCCUCCAGCA
rnacentral:tRNA from 1 species